rnacentral:lncRNA from 1 species
CUGAGCUGGUGGACCUUGCACUAUGGGGGUGGCCAGAGGAGGCUGCCCACCCCAUCGAGAGGUGAGCAAGCUGCACGGUGCUAAAUUGAAGGGUUGCUUGGCUGUCAUGCAACUCAGCUCUGUGCUCUGGGAGGCCACGCACACAAGCCCUCUAGUGUUGCCCCUGGGAU